UCGCAAUGCCCGAAAGGGUGACGAAGCGACGCCGCGUGCGGGAAGAAGGCCUUCGGGUUGUAAACCGCUGUCGGGAGUUAAGAAAUGUAAGGAUGUUAAUAGCAUCUUUGCUUGACUAAGGCUCCGGAGGAAGCCACGGCUAACUCUGUGCCAGCAGCCGCGGUAAUACAGGGGCGGCAAGCGUUGUUCGGAAUUAUCGGGCGUAAAGAGCACGUAGGCGGCUAUGUAAGUCGGUUGUGAAAGCCUUCCGCUCAACGGGAGAACAGCAUCCGAUACUGCAUGGCUUGAGUGCGGGAGGGGAGAGUGGAACUUCUGGUGGAGCGGUGAAAUGCGUAGAUAUCAGAAGGAACGCCGGCGGCGAAAGCGGCUCCCUGGCCCAUAACUGACGCUGAGUGUGCGAAAGCUAGGGGAGCAAACGGGAUUAGAUACCCCGGUAGUCCUAGCCGUAAACGAUGGGCACUAAGUAGAGGGGUUUU
rnacentral:rRNA from 1 species